UACGUAGGGUGCGGGCGUAAUCGGAAUUACUGGGCGUAAAGCGUGCGCAGGCGGCCUCUUAAGUCAGAUGUGAAAUCCCCGGGCUUAACCUGGGAACUGCGUUUGAAACUGGGAGGCUAGAGUGUGGAAGAGGGGGGUGGAAUUCCAGGUGUAGCAGUGAAAUGCGUAGAUAUCUGGAGGAAUACCGGUGGCGAAGGCGGCAUCCUGGACCGGCAUUGACGCUGAGGAGCGAAAGCCAGGGGAGCAAACGGG
rnacentral:rRNA from 1 species